rnacentral:rRNA from 1 species
GGGCCCGCACAAGCGGUGGAGCAUGUGGUUUAAUUCGAUGCAACGCGAAGAACCUUACCAGCCCUUGACAUCCUCGGAACGACCUAGAGAUAGGUUGGUGCCUUCGGAAGUCGAGUGACAGGUGCUGCAUGGCUGUCGUCAGCUCGUGUCGUGAGAUGUUCGGUUAAGUCCGGCAACGAGCGCAACCCUUAUCCUUAGUUGCCAGCGAUUCGGUCGGGGACUCUAAGGAGACUGCCGGUGUCAAGCCGGAGGAAGGUGGGGAUGACGUCAAGUCCUCAUGGCCCUUAUGCCCAGGGCUACACGCAUGCUACAAUGGCCGGUACAGAGGGCUGCAAUACCGCAAGGUGGAGCGAAUCCCAAAAAGCCGGUCUCAGUUCGGAUUGAGGUCUGCAACUCGACCUCAUG